GACGAACGCUGGCGGCGUGCCUAACACAUGCAAGUGGAGCGACGAACCAGGGCUUGCCCUGGGGCAAAGCCGCGAACGGGUGAGUAACACGUGGGUAACCUGCCCCGAUGACCGGGACAACCCGAGGAAACUCGGGCUAAUACCGGAUGUGCUCCACGCACAUAAGCGCGUGGAGUAAAGGAAGCUUCGGCCUCCGCUUCGGGAGGGGCCCGCGGCCCAUUAGCUAGUUGGUGAGGUAACGGCUCACCAAGGCAACGAUGGGUAGCUGGUCUGGGAGGAGGAUCAGCCACACUGGGACUGAGACACGGCCCAGACUCCUACGGGAGGCAGCAGUGGGGAAUCUUGCGCAAUGCGCGAAAGCGGGACGCAGCAACGCCGCGUGGGGGAAGAAGGCCUUCGGGUUGUAAACCCCUUUCAGGAGGGACGAAGGUGCGGCGGCGAACAGCCGUCCGUACUGACGGUACCUCCAGAAGAAGCCCCGGCUAACUACGUGCCAGCAGCCGCCGUAA
rnacentral:rRNA from 1 species